ACUUUUUUUUGCGGGUACCGUACCUACACUACGCAAGUGUCUAGUUAAAUGGGGUUCGGCUGUAAUGUGCAGGAAUGAAUAGCUUCGGGAGAAAAGGAGCAAUUUGGGGUGCUCAGCUCAGUACGUGAUCCACACACAGAAACAGUGAUACGUGAGCACAGAUCAACACCAAGGUUCAUUACAAACAACUAAUACACUCGAACGGCUGGAAUCACAACACCACGGAUCAAACAACUGAGAAACAUGGAAACUCUGCACAGACGCCACACACACUUAUGUACACAAGACCACAAACAUACUCACACAACGCAAACGGUCAACGUACUCCAGAAAUAGCAACCCUACAAGACUUUGCACCCCAUCCCAACCCAAUAACCGCUAAGAACUCGGCUCCUAGAAUCGCUAGAGCUGCCGUGAGCUUCUAAACGCCGCUGCCUGGAAGUGCGACCACAGUCGAUGCUGACCGUUGGGAGCGGCCCGCUGGCGCGGAGUUGUGAGAUUGUGGGGUACGGCUGGUCGGCGGCUGGGCCGAGCGUAACGGUCUUCCCGCUCUUGGCUCUCGCUCGCGCGGCCAGCGGGGGGAUCGAGACCCUCGUGCGGGACGGUCCCAGAGAGAACGGUCGCCAGUGUGCCGUGAGGAAGCGAGGGUUGAGCGAGCCGGCGGCGGACUCGCUCCACAAACCCGCUCGAGCUUCCAUAACGCUGUUUGGGGCCGGAGCGCGCUGCACCUACCCGAGCGACUAAUCGUUUGCCAACCUCUCAGACCGGGGCCAGCAAGCUUGGAUGGGAUUAGUCUCUCGUGUUGCGCGCACCGACCUCAACAAACGCCGUUGAACUGUAUCCUAGUUCGGGCCCACCCUCCCGCGGGCCAAGACUCGGCAUCGCUCACUUCCACCUGGAAAUCUUUCAUUCUUCUCAGGUCGAUGUUGAUGUUGACAGCCAGGUCUUGCCCCCUCUCUUUCAUGAGAAGCUUCUCGGCAUUAGCUGCGGCUCCUCGUGGCGGCGCACGUUCUUACCGUGUUUGCCAAUGCGAUCAGCCUUCAAUGCAGCGACCCCUCUCUCUCUCGCUCUCUAGGCGAUGGUAACUCCACUCUCCGUGCGAUAACGCAUCCCGAGGGUGACGCCGCCGCACGCAAUGUCGUCGGUUGGCACCCUAGUCUUCACACUGACGCAGCUUCUAUCGAGCGGUCGGUUGGAACGAAGCACUCCACUCUCGCAGGCGACGACGGGUGACGGUGCGCUGCUGCUACUGCUGCUGCUGCUGCUGGUAUUGUCCGUGGUGCGUUCGCUCGCACCUCGACACAAAAGCAUCAGCAGCAGCAGCAGCAGUCUCACCACCAUCACCACCAGUCUGCUGCUAUAUGACAAGGACGCGCGGACGACGAGGAGGAGGACGACGGCGUGGCCGGCAGAGUUUCGAGCCCACGCAUCAUCAUCCUCCUCAUCAUCCGCCGUCUGUUGAAACCAGGGACGCGGCGUCGCUGACCAGAGCUGUCCGACGCUGAGCGAUCUCCUACUUUAGUACAAGGCUUUAAGCGAGCGCGCGGCACGCCCGUCGUGUUCGUUCGCCGCUUGGCCGCCAGCUAACGCCAUAGCUACCUGGUUGAUCCUGCCAGUAGUCAUAUGCUUGUCUCAAAGAUUAAGCCAUGCAUGUCUAAGUACAAGCCGAUUUAAGGCGAAACCGCGAAUGGCUCAUUAAAUCAGCUAUGAUUCAUUGGAUCUGUACCCACACUUACUUGGAUAACUGUGGUAAUUCUAGAGCUAAUACAUGCACCACGUCUCUGACCGCAAGGGAAGAGCGCUUUUAUUAGUUCAAAACCGGUCGGGCCUCGGUCCGUCACCCCACCGUGUUGAAUCUGAAUAACUUGUCGCUGAGCGCACGGUCUCCGCACCGGCGCCGCCUCUUUCAAGUGUCUGCCUUAUCAGCUUUCGAUUGUAGGUUAUGCGCCUACAAUGGCUAUAACGGGUAACGGGGAAUCAGGGUUCGAUUCCGGAGAGGGAGCCUGAGAAACGGCUACCACAUCUAAGGAAGGCAGCAGGCACGCAAAUUACCCACUCCCGGCACGGGGAGGUAGUGACGAAAAAUAACGAUGCGAGACUCAUCCGAGGCCUCGCAAUCGGAAUGAGUACACUUUAAAUCCUUUAACGAGGAUCUAUGGGAGGGCAAGUCUGGUGCCAGCAGCCGCGGUAAUUCCAGCUCCAAUAGCGUAUAUUAAAGUUGUUGCGGUUAAAAAGCUCGUAGUUGGAUUUCAGUUCUGGACUGACGGUUCACCGCCCGGUGCAUACUGUCACGCUCCGAACAGCCACAACAGCCCGCUGGCUCGCACGGGGUGCUCUUCAUCGAGUGUCCCGCGUGGCAGGCAGAGUUUACUUUUAAAAAAUUAGAGUGCUCAAAGCAGGCUACACUUACGGCCUGAAUGCCUAUGCAUGGAAUAAUGGAAUAGGACCUCGGUUCUAUUUUGUCGGUUUUCUGAACCCGAGGUAAUGACUAAUAGGAACAGGCGGGG